GUGAGGAAUAUUGGUCAAUGGGCGAAAGCCUGAUCCAGCCAUGCCGCGUGAUAGAUGAAGGCCCUCUGGGUUGUAAAUAUCUUUUAUCUGGGAAGAAACUCCUCUAUUCUUAGAGGCCUGACGGUACCAGAGGAAUAAGCACCGGCUAACUCCGUGCCAGCAGCCGCGGUAAUACGGAGGGUGCAAGCGUUAUCCGGAUUCACUGGGUUUAAAGGGUGCGUAGGCGGGUUGAUAAGUCAGUGGUGAAAGCUCCGGGCUUAACUUGGAAACUGCCAUUGAUACUGUCAGUCUUGAAUGUCGUAGAGGUAAGCGGAAUGUUGCAUGUAGCGGUGAAAUGCUUAGAUAUGUUACAGAACACCAAUUGCGAAGGCAGCUUACUAUGCGAUAAUUGACGCUGAGGCACGAAAGCGUGGGGAGCAAACAGGAUUAGAAACCCGGGUAGUCC
rnacentral:rRNA from 1 species